rnacentral:rRNA from 1 species
CCUACGGGUGGCAGCAGUGGGGAAUAUUGGACAAUGGGGGGAACCCUGAUCCAGCCAUGCCGCGUGUGUGAAGAAGUCCCUCGGUUUGUAAAGCACUUUCAGUGAGGAAGAACGCCUGGUGGUUAAUACCCAUCAGGAAAGACAUCACUCACAGAAGAAGCACCGGCUAACUCCGUGCCAGCAGCCGCGGUAAUACGGAGGGUGCGAGCGUUAAUCGGAAUUACUGGGCGUAAAGCGCGCGUAGGUGGCUUGAUAAGCCGGUUGUGAAAGCCCCGGGCUCAACCUGGGGACGGCAUCCGGAACUGUCAAGCUAGAGUGCAGGAGAGGAAGGUAGAAUUCCCGGUGUAGCGGUGAAAUGCGUAGAGAUCGGGAGGAAUACCAGUGGCGAAGGCGGCCUUCUGGACUGACACUGACACUGAGGUGUGAAAGCGUGGGUAGCAAACAGGAUUAGAUACCCGUGUAGUC